rnacentral:rRNA from 1 species
AGCAGCCGCGGUAAUUCCAGCUCCAAUAGCGUAUAUUAAAGUUGUUGCAGUUAAAAAGCUCGUAGUUGAAUUUCGGGAUUGACACAUCGGUCGUGCCUUAAGGGGUGUGAACUGGUGUAGUCAAUUUCUCACCUUCUGGAGAACCGCGAUGUCCUUAAUUGGGUGCCGCGAGGAACCAGGACCUUUACUUUGAAAAAUUAGAGUGUUUAAAGCAGGCAUUUUUGCUUGAAUACAUUAGCAUGGAAUAAUAAAAUAGGACGGCAUGAUUCUAUUUUGUUGGUUCCUAGGAUCACCGUAAUGAUUAAUAGGGAUAGUUGGGGGCAUUAGUAUUCAAUUGUCAGAGGUGAAAUUCUUGGAUUUAUUGAAGACUAACUACUGCGAAAGCAUUUGCCAAGGAUGUUUUCAUUAAUCAAGAACGAAAGUUAGGGGAUCGAAGACGAUCAGAUACCGUCGUAGUCUUAACCAUAAACUAUGCCGACUAGG